rnacentral:lncRNA from 1 species
AUAAAUGAAUUUUGAAAAAAAAAUGAUAUUAUUUGUCUGGCCUUUCUCACGUAUAAGAGUGGCCUCCCUUGAAGCCAGGUGCUCGUUGCCAGGCAAUAUUAUAGGUGGCGCCGCUGUCAACAUGUGCAUGUGAAAACGAAAGUAGAUUGUUUAUCUAGGAAUGAUUACAACAUUUUACCCUUCUACGUUGAAUUUUUAAGAUAUAAUAGUAUGAAUAUAGAGAUGAUUAUUUAGUUACCUUCAACUGGUCAGUGGUCAAAAGGGAGUAUGUCUGUGUGUCUUGAAGCAUUGAAUGCCCCCAAAACAACCAGUAUGAUAAGAAGGUGUACAAUCUGGGUUGAAAACAGCCAUGGUCAGUGAAUUUGGAGGUGCAUACUUAAAUACACAUUUACUGAGAAGUGACUAAUGUUUAUGUUAAAGUGCAAUAUCCAUGUUUGUAACAUUUACAUAGGGGUAAUAGUUACAGUGUUGAAAGAGACUACCAGUGUUACAUUUCAAACUAAGUUACAGUGUGGAUGCUAAUUCUAAAUUCUUGAUAAUCAAGUGUUUUUAAUAAUUUAUGAAUACUAAUUAUUUAUCAAACUGUUUAAUUUAUCACAUUCCUACAUCUUUAUUUUAUAUAAAAUGCUUGUAGUUAUAUAAUAUAUGUCAGGUUAAAUGGUAAUAAAUUUUGUUUCUGUGUAAAUAUCUUGCUUUUUGAAAAAUGAAAAUGAUACAUUCAGUGGCCAUCAUCUGUCAAAAAUUUAUUAUAAAUGCAACAAAACUGAUGAAAAGAUAGGCAGUUACUUUUCACAAGUUCAUGGAAUAGUAGAAUAUACAUAACAUU